rnacentral:tRNA from 1 species
AGAAAAGUAAGAUAAUUAUUCUAGUAACUUUCAAGGUUAAAAGUGGAAAAUGAAGGUUUACAG